UUAGUGAUUGAUGUAGGAGGGCCCAGUCUAAGGUGGGUGGAGCUACCCCCAAGCUGGUGGUUCUCUGUUCUGUAAGAAAGCCUGCUGAGCAAGCCAUGAUGAGCAAGCCAAUGUCUAUCCAUAAGCUCAUAUACUAGAAGCUUGGACCUCAAUGCUACAGCAUAAAAGGUCACCAACUCAGAGAUUCUUGUGGCAGUGAAAACUUAAAGAGUCUGCAAUCAAAACUGCUGUGGGAGAAAGAGAAAAAAAACAGAACCUUGAUGGCAACAGCAACUUUCUUUCUUUUGAAGAAGAAAAGAACAAAGGCUCAAGUCCUUCUGGGAAUUUGAAAGACUUGUCUCAAGUCUCAUCAGUUUGACUUCAGAAUGAAGCCAUGAAGCUGCUUGUGCUGCGCUUUCAUCGACCAAACCAAUGCUCGUGUUAGAGGGUCAAAGUGUUAAGAGUUUUACUAAAGAAAUAAAUGUCAC